CUUCCUCCCACCAACCAACACAUUGAAGUUUCUUUCCAGGCUUUUUGAGUGAUUGCCCACAAUUAGGAACAACCCAGCAUACCCAUUAGCUGAAUGAAGACAAAUCUUAGCCCUCUGAGACUGAUGGUCUCAGAAAGUAGUCUUCAGAUUACCAGCUUCAGAAUCAGCUGGUGGGUUCACUAAAAUGCAGAUUCCCAGGCCCAGUGAGGACUGAA